ensembl:lncRNA
UUGGUGAUGGACAGGGAGGCCUGGAGUGCUGCGACUCAUGGGGUCGCAAAAAACACGACUGAGCGACUGAACUGAACUGAGAAACGAGUCAGACCCACCACAGGGAUCGAGAUCCUUUCUAGUGUUUUCUGGGUUGUUAAAUGGUAGAGAGCUGGGGAGAGGACCCUGAUGACUUCUUUCCCCCAGGUAGAGACUGACCCAGGCACACCAUCUCCGUUCCAGUUCUCUCAGCUCUUAAAUUCCAACUGUUAACAUUUCUGUGAACUUCCUUUCUUUAACAGGGACUUUUAUCAUUCUGUGAGGACCACCUUCUUCCUCUUUUCACAAAUGAAGAAUGCUGAGAUUCGGAGAUGAGACGGUUAAGAUGAAGCAGGAUGGCAAAGUGUCAGAGGAGAAACUCAAACACAGGCUUGCUGAACCAGGCAUCACUGCAUUACCUCUCAGAGCUAGUGUUAGUCACUCAGUUGUGUCUGAUUCUGCGUGACCCUAUGGACUGUAGUCUGCCUGGCUCCUCUGUCCAUGGAAUUCCUCAGGCAAGAAUACUGAAGUUGGGUUGCCAUGCACUCCUCCAGGGGAUCUUCCUGACCCAGGGAUUGAAACUGCAUCUCACGUCUCCUGCAUUGGCAGGCAGAUUCUUUUUCACUAGUGCCACCUGGGAAGACCUGUAAGGUGCCUACAAGCACCUUUCAGUUACAAAUAUCCCAGAGUAUUAGUUGCUGGCACUUCUCCUCAACUAAAUAGAUUUCAUGCCCCUUUCAGGGGUCAGAGAUGAGCCCUUCAGGUUCUCCCCUAGUAUCUGGAUGACUUCCCUUUCUAUGACAAACAGUUUCUUCACUUUUAAGUGGACUAAUAGCACCUACCUUAAUAAAGUACUGGGACAAUUAGUGGCUAACUGGGACGACCCAGUGACACAAGCUGAUCUGGGUUUCUGGGUUAGGCUGGACAUCCAACCGAUGGAGGAAUAUAAAUAAGGGCCUGUACAUGCAUCACUUGUGCUUUUAUGGGAAUGAGAAAAAGGCCCUCUUGUGUGCAUAUAUUUACCAAUCUGGGAAUAAGAGCAAACACAGUGUAACAGGAGAACCCUUUAAAGAUCUGGGUAAAUGAUUUAAAAUAUGUAAUUGGGAUUUUAUUUUAUUUGUUAUUUUCUCUGCCCUGGGUCUUCAUGGGCUUUUCUCUAGUUGUGGCACUUGGGUUUAGUUGCCCCGAGGCAUAUGGGAUCUUAGUUCCCUGACCAGGGAUCGAACCAACAUCCCCUGCAUUGGGAAGGCAGACUCCUUACCACUGGACCACCAGGGAAGUCCCCAUGCAAUUGGGAUUUUAAAAAUCAGGUUUUGGGAAAGAACAUUUUGAAAACUCUGGAAAUAAAUUUUAAUAAAAAGUUCACUUGCAAACAGUGGUUUGUGGACAUAGAGGUUUAUCAGACCUGGGUGUAUCGAUGCUCCUGGUUCCCGGCUGGCUCCAUUCAAGUCCAGGGAGAGGCCAGGUGGGUGGAGAUUGGAGGGAAUAAGCAGAGGCCUGAAGAGCUGUCUAGACACAGCAGCUGUCACAGGUGGGUAACUAUCUGCAAACCAGCGCCCUCCAGAACUCAGACUGAGGAUAGCAGGUAGAAAAUAAAUGGCCAAGGAGAUGAGUAAAUCAAAGGAGAAGAAGAAUUGCCCAUCUCCUGUCAGGAACCCAGUCAGCCGUCUUCAGUGGAGGUUUGGGUGCCAUCUUUCCCUCCCUCCCCUGACAGACCUUUUAGAACUCAUUAUUGUUAAGUGUUCGUUACAGCCUAGUGUUCUCUCAGAAUGGCUUGAGACCAGCGUGGGUAGAUUAUCUGCUUUCAUUGAUCUGCACUUCAGAGCUAGAGGAAGGUAAAGAUGAUUUAAUGCCUAUUUUCAAAGAAUGAAGGAUCUUUUGUUCAGCUCUUGCCAGGGAGCAGACAAAGGAAGCAAGAUUCACCUAUAACAGGAGGGGGUUGGUGGUAGACAGGAGGGAAAUUUAUCAGUCAGGGAGGAUGGAGACACUCGCGUGAGUUAUGGUAUCUUCUUACCUGGAGAUCUUCAAAGUAAGAUAUACUUCCCUCUGACAGGAGCAGUCAGAGCUGGCGGUGGGGGGUAGGAUUCCUCGCUGGAAGCAGGGAAAUGGACUUUAGCGACCUUUGAAGGUUGAGUCCAGCCUUCUGAGUCUAGGAUAAACUAAGAUGAGAAAAUUUAUGGCUUUGACAUCCACCAUGUGAAUAAAUCUGAGCCUCUGCUGGAGUUUAGGAGAAAGAAGAUUCCGGAAGCCUGCUCUGGCUUAACCACUCUAUCAGUCCAGGUUCCAGCAGGAAACAGAUGGCAUAUUCAACGCAAGAUCAUUUGCGAGAGGUUAACAAAGAGGCUAUUGACAAAGCUUUGGGCAAGAUGUAGAGAACUGUCAAAGGACCGAGCAGUACCCAAAACUCUUACCACCUCCUGCGCAAAGGGAUGAGGAGAGGGAGCCGUUAUUAGAACCCAAAAGGCAGAAACAAGGACCAUCCUGAGAGGGGCUGUAACGUUCUGAUAAGGAAUGCCACCAGCCAGCAGGGACCUAGGGAGAGANNNNNNNNNNNNNNNNNNNNNNNNNNNNNNNNNNNNNNNNNNNNNNNNNNNNNNNNNNNNNNNNNNNNNNNNNNNNNNNNNNNNNNNNNNNNNNNNNNNGAUAAGGAAUGCCACCAGCCAGCAGGGACCUAGGGAGAGAGCCUGGGACGUAAAUGCCCUGACAUCUCUGUCCUCUCUCCCACACAGCUGCUUUCUGGGCUUCCAAUCAGCCGGUCCAGACUGAAAACCUGAGAGCAAGGAAGCCCAUUGACGAGGUCACACAGUCAGCCUCCUGAGCUGACAGCAGCUUGGAGAAGGGUGAAGGGUAGAUCAGGAGGAGCAAGGAAAGCUGAAUGACACCGCCAUUGCUGGUUCCGUCACACAACAAAGUGUCUGUUACAUGCCAAGCAGUGUUCUAGGCACUAGGAAGAAGGCAGUGAACCAGAUUUACAUUUGCAACUGAUUUUGAUUUAGAAAUGCACCCCUCCCCAUAGACCCCAUAUGCAUUUGUUAAUAUAAGUAAGGAGAGCUACUGAAACUCUGUGCCUCAAUAUCCUCAUCUGUAAAGUGGGAACAACAGUUGUAAGUCCUUCAUGGGGUUGGGUUACA